rnacentral:rRNA from 1 species
CACGUAGGGGGCAAGCGUUGUCCGGAUUUAUUGGGCGUAAAGAGCUCGUAGGCGGCUCUGUAAGUCGGGUGUGAAACCUCCAGGCUCAACCUGGAGACGCCACCCGAUACUGCUGUGGCUUGAGUCCGGUAGGGGAGCGUGGAAUUCCUGGUGUAGCGGUGAAAUGCGCAGAUAUCAGGAGGAACACCGAUGGCGAAGGCAGGUCUCUGGGCCGCAACUGACGCUGAGGAGCGAAAGCAUGGGGAGCGAACAGG